rnacentral:rRNA from 1 species
GUGGGGAAUUUUGGACAAUGGGGGAAACCCUGAUCCAGCCAUGCCGCGUGCAGGAUGAAGGCCUUCGGGUUGUAAACUGCUUUUGUACGGAACGAAAAGGUCCUUUCUAAUAAAGAGGGCUCAUGACGGUACCGUAAGAAUAAGCACCGGCUAACUACGUGCCAGCAGCCGCGGUAAUACGUAGGGUGCAAGCGUUAAUCGGAAUUACUGGGCGUAAAGCGUGCGCAGGCGGUUUUGUAAGACAGGCGUGAAAUCCCCGGGCUCAACCUGGGAAUUGCGCUUGUGACUGCAAGGCUGGAGUGCGGCAGAGGGGGAUGGAAUUCCGCGUGUAGCAGUGAAAUGCGUAGAUAUGCGGAGGAACACCGAUGGCGAAGGCAAUCCCCUGGGCCUGCACUGACGCUCAUGCACGAAAGCGUGGGGAGCAAACAGGAUUAGAUACCCUUGUAGUCC